CCUACGGGGGGCAGCAGUGAGGAAUAUUGGUCAAUGGGCGGGAGCCUGAACCAGCCAAGUCGCGUGAGGGAAGACGGUCCUAUGGAUUGUAAACCUCUUUAGGCGGGGAGCAAUGCCGGGCACGCGUGCCCGGAGGGAGAGUACCCGCAGAAUAAGCAUCGGCUAACUCCGUGCCAGCAGCCGCGGUAAUACGGAGGAUGCGAGCGUUAUCCGGAUUUAUUGGGUUUAAAGGGUGCGUAGGCGGAUUUUUAAGUCAGCGGUAAAAUGUCCGGGCUCAACCCGGGCCGGCCGUUGAAACUGGGGAGCUUGAGUGGGCGAGAAGUAUGCGGAAUGCGUGGUGUAGCGGUGAAAUGCAGAGAUAUCACGCAGAACUCCGAUUGCGAAGGCAGCAUACCGGCGCCCGACUGACGCUGAGGCACGAAAGCGUGGGGAUCGAACAGGAUUAGAUACCCCAGUAGUC
rnacentral:rRNA from 1 species